rnacentral:misc_RNA from 1 species
AACCAUAGAAACCUGCGGAGUACCUGCGGAGGGAUCAUUAUAGUAUAUGGAAUCUCCAUUCUAUAAACCCACUCUGCGUAUCUUGCAACUGUUGCUUCCAUGGGACUUGGUUCCGCCACACCGGCUUCACGGCUGGUGAGCGCCCAUGGAAGGAGAAACAAAACUCUUCUUUGAAAUGUAGUCAGUCUGAACAAGUUUUUAUAAACGUUAAAACUUUUAGCAACGGAUCUCAGAUCGGAA